rnacentral:sRNA from 1 species
CGUUGUCCCACACCAGCUUUCCCCCCACGUACGUCUUCUCCACCAGCCCCCUCAGCCGCUUGCCGAUGUAUGGCGAUACCUUGUUCUUGAACCGUAAUGUCUCCUGUGCAGCGUCAGCCGUCGUGCUUAAGAACAAGUCGUGCUUAAGAAUAAAGACACCGCCCGACUUACAAGUGUAACCUCAAACUCGGCAUUCGGGUCAAACACGACAAAAUCCGCCGCUGCCCCCUGUUGUAUCACACCCUUCUUCCCUUGUAGACCCACUUGCCUCGCUUGCACCGGCCCCAUCCACUCUACGAUCCGCCCCAACUCCACUCUCCCGCCCGCCCCCAACUCCGUCCAGAGCAGCGAGAGACCCAGCCCGAGACCGGAUACGCCCCCCCACGCAGACAUGAAAUCCCCCCUUUUCAGUUCCGGCACACACGGCGAAUGAUCCGAUACGACGUAUUGGAUCGUUCCGUCCAACAACGCAUCCACUAAUUUCAGGCGGUUCGAUUCGUCCCGGAUAGGCGGGCAGCACUUGAAUUGCGUAGCGUUUGGCGGAAUGUCCGUGUCGCGAAGACAGAGGUAGUGGAAACACGUCUCGACUGUCAGGUUCUUUAAUGGUGAUGAGACGCUUGACGGUUCCCCGUUUAAUGCCUUUUCGGCGUCGUCGCCCGACAACGCGUCGUCACCCGAAAAGGCAGAUUGCAGUAGAGGCACGGCAUCGGAAGCGGACAGGUGGACGAUAUGGAACCGCAAGUCGGGGUACGACCUCGCGAUGCGCAGGAUGAGUUGGAGAGCAGAGAUUUCCCAUUGUUGAGGUCGGGAUUCGAGGAAUGUAGAGUAUUCUGAUGGGUCAGUGGUGUUGUGUGGGUCAGCGUGGGCGUGCGCGUGCGCCUGCGCGUCGAGUUCGGCGUGGAACAUGAUCAGGGCGUUGGUACCCUAAACACAAUAGGGUUAGUACUUUUGAGAGCGAAAAAAACAUCUCGACACACUUUCAACGCGUCACACGCUUUGAUAAUAUCUUGUUCCCCAACACAUGGAAACUCCUACAAGCCCACACAUUAUUCUCAGUCUUUUCAUCUCUACAACGGAAAACUCACGUCGACACCGGAUUCGAUCAAGAAACAUUUAAACCCCUUCACACCCGCCUCCCAAAGCCCCCGCAACUCUUCCUCAUUCCCCGGCACGAGCCCACCCCAAAACCCCAAAUCGCAGCUCACCCCGACCUCUUUGGCGCACGCCCUUUUCGUAGCGAGCCCGGAGAGGGUGGUGGUAGGUGGGAUAGAGUUGAGAGGCAUGUCGAUCAGGGUGGUGAUACCGCCCGAUAUGGCGGCGAGUGUGCCGGUACGGAAACCUUCCCAGGCGGUACGACCCGGUUGGUUCAGGUGGACGUGGGUGCUUAAAGAUAAGUUUAAGUGUGCGCGCUGGGGCGGUGGGUAGGAGAUAAAAAUGGGACAUACUCGAUAAGACCGGGAAGCAAGAUUUUCCCUUGUUCAAUCUCCCAUACAUUGGCGUUUUCAUCGAGUUUGUGAAUACCAGGAGUGACGGAAGUGAUCAUCCCGGAAUCGGUAUCGAAUAUGAUAGUGGCGGGUUGAGGGCGGAGGUCGCCAGGGAGGAUGGCUUGCGGUGCGAGGAUGGUUUGUGAGGGCAUUGUUUGUAUGCAGAAAAAAAAGGUUGGAUGUGUAGAUGUAGAGUAAAAAAUAGAAAAUGGAAAAUGGAAAAACGUGAA